CACGGGGGGAGCAAGCGUUGUUCGGAAUUACUGGGCGUAAAGGGUGCGUAGGCGGCGCGGUAAGUCGGGUGUGAAAUCUUGGAGCUUAACUCCGAAACUGCAUUCGAUACUGCCGUGCUUGAGGACUGGAGAGGAGACUGGAAUUUACGGUGGUAGCGGUGAAAUGCGCAGAUAUCGGGAGGAACACCGGUGGCGAAGGCGGUUCUCUGGGCCUGACCUGACGCUGGAGACGCGAAAGCGUGGGGAGCGAACAGG
rnacentral:rRNA from 1 species